GUGAGGAAUUUUCCGCAAUGGGCGAAAGCCUGACGGAGCAAUGCCGCGUGAAGGAUGAAGGCCUAUGGGUUGUAAACUUCUUUUCUCAGAAAAGAAUUAUGACGGUAUCUGAGGAAUAAGCAUCGGCUAACUCUGUGCCAGCAGCCGCGGUAAGACAGAGGAUGCAAGCGUUAUCCGGAAUGAUUGGGCGUAAAGCGUCUGUAGGUUGUUUAAAAAGUAUUCUGUCAAAGAUUAGGGCUUAACCCUAGAUAGGCAGAAUAAACUUUUAAGCUAGAGUUUGGUAGAGGCAGAGGGAAUUCCCGGUGGAGCGGUGAAAUGCGUAGAUAUCGGGAGGAACACCAAAGGCGAUGGCACUCUGCUGGGCCAAUACUAACACUGAGAGACGAAAGCGAGGGGAGCAAAUGGGAUUAGAAACCCGUGUAGUCC
rnacentral:rRNA from 1 species